ACUCCUACGGGAGGCAGCAGUGGGGAAUAUUGCACAAUGGGGGAAACCCUGAUGCAGCCAUGCCGCGUGUGUGAAGAAGGCCUUCGGGUUGUAAAGCACUUUCAGUAGGGAGGAAGGUAGUGUAGUUAACACCUGCAUUAUUUGACGUUACCUACAGAAGAAGCACCGGCUAACUCCGUGCCAGCAGCCGCGGUAAUACGGAGGGUGCGAGCGUUAAUCGGAAUUACUGGGCGUAAAGCGCAUGCAGGCGGCCUGUUAAGUCAGAUGUGAAAGCCCGGGGGCUUAACCUCGGAAUUGCAUUUGAAACUGGUAGGCUAGAGUCUUGUAGAGGGGGGUAGAAUUUCAGGUGUAGCGGUGAAAUGCGUAGAGAUCUGAAGGAAUACCAGUGGCGAAGGCGGCCCCCUGGACAAAGACUGACGCUCAGAUGCGAAAGCGUGGGGAGCAAACAGGAUUAGAUACCCUGGUAGGAUAGCG
rnacentral:rRNA from 1 species